CCUACGGGUGGCAGCAGUAGGGAAUAUUGGUCAAUGGGGGAAAGCCUGAACCAGCAACGCCGCGUGAAGGAUGAAGGUUUUCGGAUUGUAAACUUCUUUUGUUAGAGAAGAAAAAGAAGGUAUCUAACUAAUAAGCACCGGCUAUCAACGGGCCAGAAGCCCCGGUAAUACGGAGGGUGCAAACGUAACGCGGAAUUACUGGGCGUAAAGAGGGCGUAGGGGGGAGAGCAAGUCAGAUGUGAAAUGCUAUGGCUUAACCCUAGACGUGCAUUUGAAACUGUUAUUAUAGGGUAUGGGAGAGGUAGGUGGAAUUCUUGGUGUAGGGGUAAAAUCCGUAGAGAUCAAGAGGAAUACUGAUUGCGAAGGC
rnacentral:rRNA from 1 species